GACGAACGCUGGCGGCGUGCUUAACACAUGCAAGUCGAACGAAGAGCGACGGAAGCUUGCUUCUAUCAAUCUUAGUGGCGAACGGGUGAGUAACGCGUAAUCAACCUGCCCUUCAGAGGGGGACAACAGUUGGAAACGACUGCUAAUACCGCAUACGAUCUAAUCUCGGCAUCGAGGAUGGAUGAAAGGUGGCCUCCACAUGUAAGCUAUCACUGAAGGAGGGGAUUGCGUCUGAUUAGCUAGUUGGAGGGGUAACGGCCCACCAAGGCGAUGAUCAGUAGCCGGUCUGAGAGGAUGAACGGCCACAUUGGGACUGAGACACGGCCCAGACUCCUACGGGAGGCAGCAGUGGGGAAUCUUCCGCAAUGGACGAAAGUCUGACGGAGCAACGCCGCGUGAGUGAUGACGGCCUUCGGGUUGUAAAGCUCUGUUAAUCGGGACGAAAGGCCUUCUUGCGAAUAGUGAGAAGGAUUGACGGUACCGGAAUAGAAAGCCACGGCUAACUACGUG
rnacentral:rRNA from 1 species